UGCUGGGAGGAUGACGUCAGAGAAACAUGGACGCCGCUCACGCUAGAACCCUCCUGGCUUCGAGUCAGUUAUACCGAAAAGGUUUUUGACAGUGUGAAGUAGCUGAGUUGACAGCAUUGAACAUAAAGGACUGUUCAAUGAUGGUGACGUCAAUCUACCAAGCCAGUGAAGACUACCUCUAUGCCAGACUUAGAGAUGUUUAUGUACGGCUGGAAAUCCAAUCCAGAUAACUCCCCAACUCCGUCCCUGAAGCACUUUAAAGGUCACUGAUACUUCUGUUUUGAUGGAGAGUUUUUGCUUGGUGGAUACUGUAACAGUGGAGGAUAUGUCUUCAUGCCUUAAAGAUUCAUUUUAUGAAGGAAGAAACAGGGUACCAGAAAGCUGAAGGCAUGUGUGCUGUUGGACAGGACCCAAUGCUCACUUCCCUACUCUGGUGAGACUGCACAAGACUCCUCGGUAGGAGAUGCGCUAAGUCUGAACUGGAGGAAGCACGACUUCAGUUUUGACAAUUGGAAGUCUCCUUAUAUUGAUUCUUCUUUGGGCACAUGCUGGUGUUGUCCACAAUGCUGUCUCAGAAUCCCAGCAAUAAAUAUGACCAUUUGUUCAGUGUAUCACUUAAA